rnacentral:lncRNA from 1 species
UCUUCUGCCAACAUCUCUUCUCGCUCUCUCUUUCUAUUUUUCCUUCCUCUGCUCUUUUCUCCUCCUUUCUCCCUAUCUCAUCCAAAAAUCGAUCUGAUGAUUGUUCAUCGCGAAAUCUGAGGCAUACUCAGAGUGAGUUCAAUCAUUAUGGUGUUCUUGAUGAUGGUUGGAUCGGUCAUUAUAAUGGCGGUGUUGAUUGGACUGAUGAUUGCUCCCACUAGCGAUACCUUUUCUAAACCCCACAUCGACUCUGUUCACCGCACUUUUCUUUUGUGUUUUUGAGGUUUGGUUGGUGUUGGUUGAUUCUAGUUAUAAUACUGGUUGGUUUUGAUUUUGACCCCGCAGGGACACUCAUUUUUCUUUUUGUUGCAACUGAUUGCAACUUGUUAUGCAACUUAAUAUAAUUUUCGAUAAAUUUUUUCAAAUUUGCAUUUGUCAUUGCAUAUAUGGUUGCUACCUGCUCUCUCUUCUGCCAACAUCUCUUCUCGCUCUCUCUUUCUAUUUUUCCUUCCUCUGCUCUUUUCUCCUCCUUUCUCCCUAUCUCAUCCAAAAAUCGAUCUGAUGAUUGUUCAUCGCGAAAUCUGAGGCAUACUCAGAGUGAGUUCAAUCAUUAUGGUGUUCUUGAUGAUGGUUGGAUCGGUCAUUAUAAUGGCGGUGUUGAUUGGACUGAUGAUUGCUCCCACUAGCGAUACCUUUUCUAAACCCC